rnacentral:rRNA from 1 species
UACGUAGGGUGCAAGCGUUAAUCGGAAUUACUGGGCGUAAAGCGUGCGCAGGCGGUUCGUUAAGUCCGUUGUGAAAGCCCUGGGCUCAACCUGGGAAUGGCAGUGGAUACUGGCGAGCUAGAGUGUGAUAGAGGAUGGUGGAAUUCCCGGUGUAGCGGUGAAAUGCGUAGAGAUCGGGAGGAACACCAGUGGCGAAGGCGGCCAUCUGGAUCAACACUGACGCUGAGGCACGAAAGCGUGGGGAGCAAACAGG